UAAAAACAUAAAAUAUGUGUAAUAUGCACUUUUUUAACGGUUCCUGGCGUGGGCAUGUAUAUUUUGUAGUUGCUGUAAAGUAUAAGGGUUGGACAUUUUCGAUGCUGUAUUCUCUCUAUUAAUUGUCUAUCAUAAAAUGAUAGUAUGGAUCCAAAGCUAUGUACUGAUAAAUUUGAUGUGGGACUUGUCAGUAAAAAAUAGACAUUGAAAAUUCUCGCCGUUUUGUUGUAAGUUUAGUUAUCAUAACCUCACAGAUUUCUUGUUGUAAACAAAAUAUACGCCGGGCUAUUCAAUAAAACUUACAAUACGACCCACAC
rnacentral:lncRNA from 1 species